AAAAAUAUGCCAAAAAGUAAAGAGCAUUAACAUACAGAAGAAUUUACAUCAACGAAUGGAUAAAACAGCCAGUUAACAUCAAAUGGCAGUAACCCUAAAUUUAAGUCGACUAAAUCCCCCAAUCAAAAGAUACAGCCAAAACCUAAUGAUAUGCUACAUCCAGACCAAUUUCAUAUCCAAGAUACACAAAGAAUUAAAGGGAUGGAGAAAGAUUUACCAACCAAAUGGAGAGCAAAAAUAAAUGAAUAAAUAAAAAGCAGGAGUUGCAAUUCUCGCAUCUGAUAAAAUAGAUUUCAAAGCAACAAAGAUAUAGUGGUAAAAGGAUCAAUGCAACAAUAAGAGCUAAUGAUCCUAACACCCAGAUACAUAAGACUCAUAAAGAGAUUUAGACUCAACCAAACAGAAAAUUAAUAAGGAUAUCCAGGACUUGAACUCAGAUCUGGAACAAGUAAACUCAAUAAAUAUUCAUACAGCUCUCCAUUUUAAAUACACAAAAUAUACAUUCUCCACCUUAAAUAUGCAAAAUAUUGAUCAGCCAUUAUUAUACCCUUUUUUAGAAUAAAGCAAUAUUCCCGUUCUCUCUCCUUCUUUUUCUUCCUCUUUCUUCCUCUCCUACACUCCUUUUUUUCUUUCUUUAAAAAAAAUAAUUAAAAAAAUAAAAAUAAAAAUAAAUGUCUGUUCAAACAAAAAAGAAAUAAUCUGACCAGCACUUUAAACUAUUUUAUUUAUUUCAAUUUUACUCUCUGGUCUUUCUAUGUCUUAUAAUUUAAGGGCCUUUUCUCCUUUUCCUUUAUAUAAAAUUUUUAUGGAAACAUUUUUUAAAAAAUUGAAACAAAGUAUCAUUCUGUCACCCAUCUUAGAGUGCAGUGCCACAAUGGUGUCUCAUUUCAGCUUCUACCUCCUAUGCUCAAGCAGUCCUCCUACCUUAUACUCCUGAAUAGCUGGGACUACAGGUAUUCAUACCACCAUACCUGGCUAAUGUAUUUUAUUUUAUUUUUUAUAGAGAUGGGAUGCCACUAUGUUGCCCAGUCUGGUCUUGAACUUCUGGGCUCAGUGAUCCUCCUUUCAUGCUUCCAAAGUGCCAGGAUUACAGGUGAUCCCAGAUUAUCAUCAUUGAAGCAGCACUGUCAUCUUGACUAUAUCAUACUGUCAUGAAAAAAUACAAGUACUCUGGAGGAGCUACUUCCAGAAAUGUCUUUGAAGAAGCAAAAGGAUGAAAAGGUACUGGACACUGUGAUAUGACACCCAAUCUUUCUCAAGGAAGGGCUUGAAUCUGCUGUUGGGAGUACUGUCAACAGCCAUCAGCUGUCAGCCUCUUCAGGUACUGUCCAGUUCACACCCUUUCCUGAGUUGGCCCAUGUUUAAUGAAUUACAGAUAUGAAAGUAUCAAACUCUGAUCAUGUUGUCUCAAGAAAAGAUGGUUUACAUUAAUAUAGGAGACUUGAACAUGUUUAAAUAUUUGUAAAAAGAAGCCAGUAGAUAGGGACAUUUCUUUAAAAAAAAAAAAAAAAGCAAGAGAAAGCAAAGGGCUAUGAAUUCAGAACAUAGGUGAUAUUAUGAAAAAGGGUUAUGUCUGACUAAUACUGUAUAAGAAGACUCAAACAUAAUAUUUUCCUAAAUAGUAUUACUAGAGCCGGGAGCAGUAGCUCACACCUGCAAUCCCAGCACUUUGGGAGGCCAAGACAGGAGCAGUGCUUGAGGCCAGGAGUUGGAGGCAGCAGUGAGCUGUGAUUGCACCACUACACUUCAGCUUGGGUAACAGAGUGAGACUCUGUCUCUAAAGAAAAAAGAAAAGAACAUUACUAUUAUCUUUAUUAAAUUUCUAAAAUCAGAUCUGCAAUCUGCAAUAC
ensembl:lncRNA